GUACGGGAGGCAGCAGUAGGGAAUAUUGGACAAUGGGUGCGAGCCUGAUCCAGCCAUGCCGCGUGCAGGAAGACGGCCUUCUGGGUUGUAAACUGCUUUUGCCAGGGGAUAAAACGUCCAUGCGUGGAUAAUUGAAGGUACCUGGUGAAUAAGCCACGGCUAACUACGUGCCAGCAGCCGCGGUAAUACGUAGGUGGCAAGCGUUGUCCGGAUUUAUUGGGUUUAAAGGGUGCGUAGGCGGUUUUAUAAGUCAGUGGUGAAAUACAAUAGCUUAACUAUUGAGGUGCCAUUGAUACUGUAAGACUUGAGUACAGACGAGGUAGGCGGAAUUGACGGUGUAGCGGUGAAAUGCUUAGAUAUCGUCAAGAACACCGAUAGCGAAGGCAGCUUACUAGACUGUAACUGACGCUGAGGCACGAAAGUGUGGGGAUCAAACAGGAUUAGAUACCCUGGUAGU
rnacentral:rRNA from 1 species